rnacentral:ncRNA from 2 species
CCUCCGACCCGCGGGAGCCCACGAUCCGAGGCUGAGAGGGCGGCAGGCCGGCCGUCGACCGUUCGAACCUGAUCCGGUUAGUACCGGUGUAGGGAGGAACGCAGUGACUGGC